CGGAACAUGUCCUGUAGUGGGGGAUAGCCCGGCGAAAGCCGGAUUAAUACCGCAUACGAUCUGAGGAUGAAAGCGGGGGACCUUCGGGCCUCGCGCUAUAGGGUUGGCCGAUGGCUGAUUAGCUAGUUGGUGGGGUAAAGGCCUACCAAGGCGACGAUUAGUAGCUGGUCUGAGAGGACGACCAGCCACACUGGGACUGAGACACGGCCCAGACUCCUACGGGAGGCAGCAGUGGGAAUUUUGGACAAUGGGCGAAAGCCUGAUCCAGCAAUGCCGCGUGUGUGAAGAAGGCCUUCGGGUUGUAAAGCACUUUUGUCCGGAAAGAAAUCCUUGGUUCUAAUAUAGCCGGGGGAUGACGGUACCGGGAGAAUAAGCACCGGCUAACUACGUGCCAGCAGCCGCGGUAAUACGUAGGGUGCAAGCGUUNAUCGGAAUUACUGGGCGUAAAGCGUGCGCAGGCGGUUUGCUAAGACCGAUGUGAAAUCCCCGGGCUCAACCUGGGAACUGCAUUGGUGACUGGC
rnacentral:rRNA from 1 species